rnacentral:misc_RNA from 1 species
GUAUAUAUUAUAUAGGCACAACAUUCUAUUAACAUACAUUGGGGUAAAUGAAGCAACAUAGACCUGAAAGGUCUACAAAAAGUGCACAGGUGGAGAUAUAAAGAUGACAAGGUGUGCACAUGCUCCCUAGAGAACCAGCAACAACCCAUCAGGUUUAUUUCAAUAAUGAUCCUUCCGCAGGUUCACCUACGGAAA